GAAAAUUUUCUUUUUAUCAUUGAGAAAUCCAAAACAAAAACAAAAAAAAAUCAAUAGGAAGAAGGAGAGGGUUGAAUGGCAAUGGAAGAGGAGUGGCGGUGGUAGCAAUAGUGUUGUUCCUAGCCAUUGUCAAGUCUCAAGCGUUUUACGAAGAGGGAGUUAAGAAAGGUGUCACCGCCGACAUCCCAGGCACACUACAGCGGUGCCAAUGAGGAAGAAAGACUAACUUGGAGGUGCGCCUCGUCAGUCUUAUUUUCGGAGAAAGAAGAAAACCUAUAAGAAGGAGGAGGAACGACGCUGGCGCUGGUGCGCCCCUAUGUGAAGGAGGAAGAAUGGAGAAACUGCCCUUCCCUAGCGCGUGUUAGAGAUGAAGAAGAGGUGCUUCAUUAGGCCAUACGGUUCUGCCUCCUUUGCACCUCCAUGUUUUAUGGGAUGAUUUCAUUUUCUUUAUACACCCCAUACGUACUGACCCUACACUCUCGUGUAUUCUGUGUUUGUUGAUGGGUCGUUUAUUCAUUUUACUUGCGAUACCCCACGUUGCACAUAUCAUAUUAAUUACUUAUAACACUACACGUUUUACUAUCUCCACACCCCCUGUUGGUUUCUUGGAAUGUUUUAAUUUUUCUGUUUACACGUGUAUUUUCUUCUGGCGCACCACCCUCUUUCUUAUUGAACCAAACCCUUGUGUUAUUAUUUUGCAACACUUUUUCACUAUUUAUAAUUCCACCUUUUUU
rnacentral:lncRNA from 1 species